rnacentral:rRNA from 1 species
GACGAACGCUGGCGGCGUGCUUAACACAUGCAAGUCGAACGCUGAACCCGCUUCGGUGGGGGUUGAGUGGCGAACGGGUGCGUAACACUAACGCAACCUUCCCCCGGCUCUGGGAUAACUCCAAGAACUUGGGGCUAAUGCUGGAUGUGACCGCUGGCCUCAUGGUCUGGUGGUGGAAAUGGUUUCCGGCUUGGGAUGGGCUCGCGGAUAAUCAGCUUGUUGGUUGGGUAGUGGCCUACCAAGCGGACGACGGGUAGGCGGCAUGAGAGGGUGACCGGCCACACGGGGACUGCGGGAGGGACCAGACGGGUACGGGCGGCAGUAGGCGGGAACCUGACGCAGUGAGGGGAAGCGUGAGACAGAGACGUUGGGUGGGGAAUAACGUGUUACGGGUGGAAAACAUAUUUCAGCGGGGACGAAGCGAACGUGACGGUACCUGAAGAAGAAGCCACGGCUAACUACGUG